rnacentral:rRNA from 1 species
UACGGAGGGUGCAAGCGUUAUCCGGAAUCACUGGGUUUAAAGGGUGCGUAGGCGGGGAUUUAAGUCAGAGGUGAAAGGUGGUCGCUUAACGAUCAACUUGCCUUUGAAACUGAAUUUCUUGAAUUGGGUUGAGGUUAGCGGAAUGAGUCAUGUAGCGGUGAAAUGCAUAGAUAUGACUUAGAACACCAAUUGCGAAGGCAGCUGGCUAGACCUAGAUUGACGCUGAGGCACGAAAGCGUGGGGAGCGAACAGG